GGGAAGGUAGCUCAAUGGUAGAGCGCUUGCCUUGAAUGCAUGAGGCCCUGGGUUCGAUUCCUCAGCACCA
rnacentral:tRNA from 1 species